rnacentral:rRNA from 1 species
GGGGGGGGGGGGGGGGGGGGGGGGGGGGGGGGGGGGGGGGGGGGGGGGGGGGGGGGGGGGGGGGGCGCGAGUGGCGAACGGGGGGGUAACACGUGAGUAACCUGCCCGUGACUGGGGGAGAACGUCAGGAAACUGGGGCUAAUACCGGAUAGGAGCUCCUGCGGCAUGGUGGGGGUUGGAAAGUUUCGGCGGUUGGGGAUGGACUCGCGGCUUAUCAGCUUGUUGGUGGGGUAGUGGCUUACCAAGGCUUUGACGGGUAGCCGGCCUGAGAGGGUGACCGGCCACAUUGGGACUGAGAUACGGCCCAGACUCCUACGGGAGGCAGCAGUGGGGAAUAUUGCACAAUGGGCGGAAGCCUGAUGCAGCAACGCCGCGUGCGGGAUGACGGCCUUCGGGUUGUAAACCGCUUUCGCCUGUGACGAAGCGUGAGUGACGGUAAUGGGUAAAGAAGCACCGGCUAACUACGUG